rnacentral:rRNA from 1 species
ACGCUCGACACCUACGAGGCAGCAGUGGGGAAUAUUGCACAAUGGGGGAAACCCUGAUGCAGCGACGCCGCGUGGAGGAAGAAGGUCUUCGGAUUGUAAACUCCUGUUGUUGGGGAAAAAGAGGAUGGUACCCAACAAGGAAGUGCGGCUAACUACGUACCAGCAGCCGCGGUAAUCUGAGCGGGCNGCAAGC